rnacentral:rRNA from 1 species
UACAGAGGGUGCAAGCGUUAAUCGGAUUUACUGGGCGUAAAGCGCGCGUAGGUGGCCAAUUAAGUCAAAUAUGAAAUCCCCGAGCUUAACUUGGGAAUUGCAUUCGAUACUGGUUGGCUAGAGUAUGGGAGAGGAUGGUAGAAUUCCAGGUGUAGCGGUGAAAUGCGUAGAGAUCUGGAGGAAUACCGAUGGCGAAGGCAGCCAUCUGGCCUAAUACUGACACUGAGGUGCGAAAGCAUGGGGAGCAAACAGG